rnacentral:lncRNA from 1 species
AAGCAUGCACCCCAUCAACACAAAUCCUCAAUAUAAUUUACACACACAACGAUCGCAACAGUUCUACGUGUUCAGUUCAACAAACAUUUACCAUUCACCAUUCACCGUCGAGACUUGGAAUUCUCUCAUAAACAUUUAAUCGCCUAGACUUGGGAUUCACUUUACCAGCGUCACGCAUUAAACAUGGAAUUUCCACCAGCGUCAUGCAAUAGACGUGAAAUUUCUACCAACGUCUCGUAACAAUCUCAAUCUCAGACGUGGGAU